rnacentral:rRNA from 1 species
GAUGAACGCUGGCGGCGUGCUUAACACAUGCAAGUCGAACGAUGAAGCCCAGCUUGCCGGGUGGAUUAGUUGCGAACGGGUGAGUAACACGUGAGUAACCUGCCCUUAACUCUGGGAUAAGCCUGGUAAACUGGGUCUAAUACCGGAUAGGAGCGUCCACCGCAUGGUGGGUGUUGGAAAGAUUUAUCGGUUUUGGAUGGACUCGCGGCCUAUCAGCUUGUUGGUGAGGUAAUGGCUCACCAAGGCGACGACGGGUAGCCGGCCUGAGAGGGUGACCGGCCACAAUGGGACUGAGACACGGCCCAGACUCCUACGGGAGGCAGAAGUGGGGAAUAUUGCACAAUGGGCGCAAGCCUGAUGCAGCGACGCCGCGUGAGGGAUGACGGCCUUCGGGUUGUAAACCUCUUUCAGUAGGGAAGAAGCGAAAGUGACGGUACCUGCAGAAGAAGCACCGGCUAACUACGUG